AACUUUCCCCAAUUUAUACUGCAUUCUAGAUUUCCCAGUAUUAGUUUCAUGAAAGAUCACCCACUUCCCCACAACUCCAACACAAGUUCUUCUGGAACACUGGCUUUGAAUAUAAUGGGGAAAUAUCAGUUUCAUUUGGGUAAACUCUGAUUAGAGGGUGGUUUUGUAGAGUAAAACCAAAGGCCUUGAGCAAGAACAGCCUUUUCUAGAGAUUUUAUUUUAUUUUUUUAAAUCUAUUCAGAACCAUUGAAAAGUGAGUCUAUCAGAAAUGGAGUUCUUUGAAAGAACAAGACCAAAUUCUUGCCAUGCAGAGCUUGAAGUCUAAUGGUGGCUACAGAAGCUCAUAAAUUAGAGUGCCAAAGAUGCAAUAUUGCUUUUGAUGUAUCUGAAGUAGCAUAAAGUGAAGUCUUGGAAACUACAUCACAUUUUCAAGAAAGAAAGAAAAGUUAAAGAGAGGAAAAAUGAAGACAGUAACCCUUACAGAUGUUAGACCAUCAUCAUCAUUGUCAGCAGCAGCAGCAGCAAUAAUGAUUCUUAACUCUGAGAAGCUACCUAGUUCCUGAAACAUGGAAAGUAUGCUAUUUCAAGAAUCCUCAAACAAGUCUUUAAAGUUAUCGUUGGUGCUUCUCUACUGGGUUGUACAUCACACAAAAUAAGAACCAAAUUCCCCAGAAUCACCUUUCCCCUACGCAAACCACUUGCCUACAAUGUGCCAAUCCUGAAAAGCUGAACAUCACGGACAGAGAAAUUUGAUUUUCACAGUUCUUGGAUAAGUUCAAUCCUUUGGGGUCACCCUUGGGUUUUCAGUUUAGGGAACUUCUGGGGCAUCAAUGCUGGAGAUGAGUGAAGACCUGGCUAGAGGAGGGAAGGGGCUUUCCCAUUGCCACACAUCUGCCCUCUUGCAGCCCCAGGAGCCCCCUCCACCCAUGACUAUCCUCAGCCAGAACUCAAUACAACCUGGAAAUUUCUUUCCGGAUCCUUACUCCUCACAUUAGCCGUGGAGGAAGAGAAACAUUUCCUAUAAGCGAGGGAAAAGCAUCACACACAACUUGAAAAACUCAUUUAGUCAGCCUCGUUUAAACCACUCCAUUCCCUCCCUCUGUUUUGAUUUCAAUAUUGAUAAAAUGCCCACUGUUUCACAUCUUUAUGAUAAUAGUUGCAAAUGAAUACAUUUUUCGACUUGGGGGCCUUUCAAAUGUUCAGUGGCAAGUAACUUCCCAGGGCAACUUCUCCCUAGGAUCCUCCCUCCUCCCCUUUUAAUGGCGGGACUUUUCAUAAUGUGCACAAUACUAUUAAAAUUUCAUAUUAGCAGUGUGUAUGGUGAACUUUGUAAUGGGAAAUUCAAUAGCUGCUGUAAAUAUUAAUGGAAUAUGAAAUGAAGCCACAGCCUCGACCAGCCCUGACAGUAAAACGGAGUGAGCAUGUGGCGGCCCCGGGGCGAGAGAGGCCUUUCCUCUUGUCGCUCUCGCUUUAUUACAUUAGCACGGGCCUCCCCGCGCCGGCGUGGGCUCUGAAGCCGAGGUGCCGGGUCACCCAUGACAAAUGUCCCCGUGUCUCGCCAACAGGCCCCGCCUGGCCCUGCCACUCCAUCUGCCCAACAGGCCCCCAGAGAGUGCUUGCGGGUGUCAGUUUCAGGUAAAGAGCUCUUGAAAGGGCAAAGUCUCCAUAAAGGUUGCAAGGGUUCCCUGGGCUUCCCCAAGUCUCCGCAGCUUGGGUCCCCGGCUACAGUAGGAGGGGUUCGUAUCGGGGUGGGGGAGGGAAGAACCCCCAACACGCGUACCAACCACCCUGGGCGGGAUUUCUGGGCUUGAAAACACUAUUAGGAAAGCCAGAUUCCAACCUCCCACCCGCACCUCGAUCCCUUCCCACCUUCUGCCCAAAGGAUCCACCUCAGAAUUGGGUGUCGGGCUGGGUAAGGCUUGUGGGAGGGGACAGGGGACUGUUUGGACUGGGAUUUGGCGCCAGCUGCCACCACCUUCCCCAAUCCCCGAUCCCCGUGCUAUGCGGAGUUGCAAACUGCCCCCACCGAAACCGGCCUGUCGAGGAAGCUGGAGACGCUGGGGGACAGCUUAUUUGCAGGGAUCUGUGGACAUUGGGACCCUAGACCCUGGACCUCCAGCUCAGCCUUUGCCCUGGCGUGAAUCUCCUGGGAACCCCAGGGGAGGGUGUGCGUCGGCUCUGGAAGGAACAGCGCUAACUGGGGCCACGGGCGCCCAGAUGGGGUGGGUGCUGAGCUGAAGUCGCCGCCAAGGAGGGUCCUGGGAGGCGAGGCGUGCUGACAAACGUGGCCGUCAGCACCUAGCUGCCCCGACGAGUUAUUUCAACAGGCUGGGAGAGAUCGGUAUUUGAGUGGCAGGCGACGCCUUUCCUCACUCCCAGUAUUUAUGUUGUACUGACGGCACUUAGGAGAACUUAGUUUUAGAUGGGACAUUAAUCUUAACUUGUUAAGAGACAGGCUGUCAACAUUUACCAGGGGCUUUCCCACUCUCGACGUCCGAGGCCCUCCCUUGGAGUCCAGCCGCUGCCCACCUGGUCUGGGCGCCGGGUGUUGCUGGUCCGCGUUCGGCAGAGGCGGGGAGCCCCAGGUGAGCAAGGUGAGCGGUGGAGAGAG